CCUACGGGAGGCAGCAGUGAGGAAUAUUGGUCAAUGGACGAGAGUCUGAACCAGCCAAGUAGCGUGAAGGAGGAAUGCCCUCUUGGUUGUAAACUUCUUUUAUAAAGGAAUAAAACGAGUCACGUGUGCCUUUUUGCAUGUACUUUAUGAAUAAGGAUAGGCUAACUACGUGCCAGCAGCAGCGGUAAGACGGAGGAUCAGAGCGUUAUCCGGAUUUAUUGGGUUUAAAGGUAGCGUAGAUGGGUUGUUAAGUCAGUUGUGAAAGUGUGCGGCUGAACCGUAAAAUUGCAGUUGAUACUGGCAGUCUUGAGUGCAGUAGAGGUAGGCGGAAUUCGUGGUGUAGCGGUGAAAUGCGUAGAGAUCACGAAGAACCCAGAUUGCGAAGGCAGCUUACUAAACUGUGACUGACAUUGAUGCUCGAAAGUGUGGGUAUCAAACAGGAUUAGAUACCCCAGUAGUC
rnacentral:rRNA from 1 species